GCUCUUAGGCGCGCACCUCAAACGAUCAUUUCGCGAAUAAAAGACAGGGGCAUCAGGAGGGUCAACCCCGAAUUCUCACGAGACGAGUUCCGUAAGAUAUUGCUCCCCGUCAAUCGAUGCUUUUGCCAAAAGUCAACAAAGAAACGAUCGUCUUGUGGAACCUCAUCGA